rnacentral:rRNA from 1 species
UAAAUAGACGGGCUGACAUUUUUGUUGGCUUCAUUGUCUUCUUAGAGGGACUAUCAAACGUAUAGUUGAUGGAAGUUCGAGGCAAUAACAGGUCUGUGAUGCCCUUAGAUGUUCUGGGCUGCACGCGUGCUACACUGACAGAGACAGCGAGUAAACAACCUUGUCUGGAAAGACCG